UAUGUAAUCAUUAUCUUCCAUCGAUACUUAGCAUUACAAAUCGUUGCCUAUUAUUGAUGAUUAAUAUUAAUCUUAAUUUAUCAAUUAUUAUUGUUACUUGUAAAGAUGCCCUAGUGGAUCUGUGUAUAAUCACAUUCGAUUUACAAAAAAGACUAUAUGUCGGGCUCCUUUGAUCUGAUCAAGACUUUAAAAAACUGUUAAAAAAAUAUGAUUAGAAAAAAUUAGUGAUUAUGCUCGCUUCUGGUUUACAAGGGAGCAUAAUAUUGUUACAGGAUUCUCCUGUAGCUCCAUGACUGCAACCGCUCAGUUGAUCCAGAUUCAUUGAAAUGGCUUGCCAACUGCUCUCCAACAGCUCUAUUGUUUCACGAUUUUGCAACGGCUCCAUAACUAUUAGCACUGAAAAAAACAUUAUUACCGUUGGGGAAAAAACAUUAUUACCGUUGGGGCAAAAACACAGCUCUGUUGUUUCACGAUUGCAACGGCUCCAUGACUGUUAGCACUGGAAAAAAGCAUUACUAUCGUUGGGAAAAACACAGCUCUGUUGUUUCACGGUUGCAACGGCUCCAUGACUGUUAGCACUCGAAAAAAAGCAUUACUACCGUUGGGAAAAACACAGCUCUGUUGUUUCACGAUUGCAACGGCUCCAUGACUGUUAGCACUGGAAAAAAGCAUUAGUACCGUUGGGAAAAACAUUAGUACCGUUAAAGAAAAACCCUUAUAUAUAUGACUGGUGUAGUUGGAGAGAGUGUAAUGGCUCUGACGGUUUUCUCUGGCGCCCUAGUUUUGCCUUAUGUUCGCCCGAGAGAAGCCCUAUGUUUCCCUUAGAGUUUCAGCCCUGUGGUGUAGUUGGAGAGAGUGUAAUGGCUCUGAGGGUUUUCUCUGGCGCCCUAGUUUUGCCUUAUGUUUCAGCCGGUGAGGGUUUGCCGAGACGUCCGAAUUGUUCAGCAGCAUUUUCCAUGACACGCGCUCGUCGUGUGGGUCGCCUUCUGUUACACAGAAGCGGUUCAACGACAACACAAGAAUUGCUCUGCAUUUAAUAGUGCCUACAUUAAUUAGAAAUCUCCGUUUCUUUGGUUUUCGACUGUUCGGAUUUUACUUAUUCCUUGUCUUCUCCUAAUUUGCUCUUCUUGGGUUUCUGACUGUUUGGAUUUUACCUAUUUCUGUCUUCUUCUAAUCUGCUUUUCUUGGGUUUCUGACUCUUUGGAUUUUACUUAUUUCAGUCUUCUUCUAUUUUGUUUUUCUUGGGUUUCCGACUCUUCGGAUUUUACUUAUUCCUUUCUUCUCCAUAUUCGCUUUUCUUGGGUUUUUGACUCUUCGGUUUUACCUUCCAAUAGGUGAGUAUUUUUUAACCUUUCUCAGGAGUGUUAGUCUUUACAAAUUAGUUUUCAAAAGCCAUAGGCUUAUCGCAUAUGUCACUGCAAGACUUGAGAACUUAAGUAGAUCAGUAUUGCUAGUUGUAGGUUGAUCGAUAUUAGUGUCUUCCAGAUGGGGUAUUUAAAGAGAAACUAAAGCGCAAUGAAAAAUGUGGAGAAAGAUUUGGCUGUCUUUUUAUGCUCUGUUUGUACAUCAUUAUUUAUUCUUUUUACAUUCAGUACUGAGAGGAAUUCGUUUAUUCAUGGCGGUAUUUGAAGAGAAACUAAAGCGCAAUGAAAAUGUGAGAAAGAUUUGGCUGUCUUGAGCAGUGAAGAAUAGGGGUCUCUUUAUAUGCUCUGUUUGUACAUCAUAUUUAUUCUUUUUCCAUUCAGUGAAUCAGUACUACCACAAUGUUCAUAUUUAUUCGUUGUACAUCAUAUUUAUGAGAGGAGUUCGUUUAUUCAUGGCCGCUCUAUUGAAUAAAAUUGAAUAAAGUGCUAGCUAAUAAGCCCAUUGCUUUCCAGUCUUUAUGCAAUUUUUGUGCUUCAAUCUUUUUUUCUGAAUGAUCUGAAAGCAUCUUCUGUGAACAUUGUGGUAGUUAUCUUUCCCCAAUUAAAGUUGUAUUUUAAGAAGACACUUGCAUGAUACAUAAUGACAUUCAUGUCUCUAUGUAUAGAAAUAAAUAAAUCAGUCAGGAUAAUUUGACAGUCGACCUAACCGCUCAAGCAAGAUUUCUAUGCUGUCAAAAUCAAGUAUCCUUCCAGGUCCAAUGCCUCCAUGUAUAGCAUCUAUGUAAAGAGUAAGGCAGUUAGAAAACAGUUAUUAAAAUCAAAGGGUGUGUUGUUGUGUUUACAGCCGUGAUAUGCUCUGGGAAAGACACUAUCAGAGAGGACAGUGUGGGCUCUGGCCAUGGACAGGCGUAAUUAUUGUGACAAUUAAUGCAGGUCUCGUUGUAGGGCCUGGCUUCUGCAUACAAAACCUCAGUAUCCACCAUAGCAUAUCUCAAAGUUUCUCCACUGGAUGCAUCAGUUGUUUUCCCCCUGUUUCCGUCAAGUUUUCCUGUGGAUGACUAGAAUCAAGCAUUCUAUGCUAUUUAACUUCUCUGUAAGCCCUCUCACUCAUCAUCAGGAAAUUGGCUUUUACUAAUUCAUUUGACGUGCCAGAGGCAAUCGGCACUAUUGAUUAGUAUAGUAUCUUUGCCAUGUUUGUAGAGUUAUGCCUAGAGUAUUUCAAUUGCUAUCGCAGUCAAUGCAGAGCAUUGUUAUACUUUUGAAUUAAUUGUUGAAAUUGAUCAACUAAUUUGUAAAACAAUAUGUAAAUAGAUUUGUUGUUUAAUACAAAAUUUUUAUUUGGGAGGGGUUGAAUUUGCCCCUUCCUUAAGAUUGGAGGGAAUGAUCACUGGCCAUGGUCAUUCUUUUCAGGUUAAUGUUUCUUGUUGAUUUUUAUAUUGAAUUAAUUUAAACUUACUUUUUA